AAACAAUGGUUCACAAACUCCAUGGUCCACACACAGCGCUGUGGUUAAGCGGGGAGGUCACGAUUCCGUGGUCUGUGUACACCCACUGUGGGAGAUCGACCUUUGUGACCACAGCUGCUGUAUCAGACUAUACGUAUUUGUCAGAGUUCAAACGUGAACAAACACCAUGAGGCGCCAUGAAGUGAUUCUGCGCGGAACUAAUGCAGCAUCAACUUCUCCGGUUUGGGUGCUGAAGCACUGGGACACACAACUCUGAGCAAAAAUCACUCCGUGUAGAGUGAGCGAAGCUUGAAUUCGUACCGAAAUCAUUCAUCAAUUCACCGUCUCUGCGCAAAGAGCAUAAGAAUCAAUUGAUGUCGGAGGGGAGGAAUUUCAAUGUUAUUGGGCAGUUCAAACUUAAUGGUCAGUGGGGACGUUAAUUCGAGGGUUUACGGCCUAUGUAAGAAUGAUAACUCAUGUUUAUACCAGUGGCGACAUAGAUUACUUGUCAUAAAUAACUAAAAC
rnacentral:sRNA from 1 species